rnacentral:rRNA from 1 species
GUAGGGAAUAUUGGACAAUGGGGGGAACCCUGAUCCAGCCAUGCCGCGUGGAGGAAGACUGCCCUCUGGGUUGUAAACUCCUUUUAUAUGGGAAGAACCGUCCUCAUUAAUGAGUGACCUGACAGUACCAUAGGAAUAAGCACCGGCUAACUCCGUGCCAGCAGCCGCGGUAAUACGGAGGGUGCAAGCGUUAUCCGGAUUCACUGGGUUUAAAGGGUGCGUAGGCGGAUAAAUAAGUCAGUGGUGAAAUCAACGGGCUCAACCUGUUAACUGCCAUUGAUACUGUGUAUCUUGAAUAUGAGAGAGGUAGGCGGAAUGUUGCAUGUAGCGGUGAAAUGCUUAGAUAUGCUACGGAACACCGAUUGCGAAGGCAGCUUACUAUUUCGUAAUUGACGCUGAGGCACGAAAGCGUGGGUAGCGAACAGGAUUAGAUACCCGAGUAGUCC